AAGUUACCUCUAAUUCCUUGGAUCAAGAUCCCCUUAGCAGCGUCAGGCAAGUGUACAAGUCGGGCGAGGUGGAGGAAGGUUGGCGUCUAUUUCUGUUGGUCGGGCAACCCAGUGCCACCGCUAGCAGUGCCAGUGUAGCAGUGAGUGUGCCAGGGGCACCCAGUGCCACCGCUAGCAGUGCCAGUGUAGCAGUGAGAGUGCCUGAUGCUCGUAGUGUAACCCCCUGCAGCGCCAGAGGCAAGAGGUUCAUGUACAUGUGGCAUUGUGGAGCCACCAGCAGGAGUGCCUAGCCACCAGCAGGAGUGCCUAGCCAUCAGUAGGAUUUCCUGGCAUCAGUAGGAGUGCUUAGGUCCUAAAAGGAGUGUCUACCACCAGCAGGAGUGCCUAGCCAUCAACAGGAGUGCCUAGCCACCAGGAGAAGUUUCUAGCCACCAGCAGGAGUUUCUAGCCACCAGGAGGAGUGCCUAGCCACCAGGAGUAGUACCUAGCUACCAGCAGGAGUGCCUAGCCAUCAGCAGGAGUGCCUACCCACCAGCAGGACUAUGUCUGUAGAGGCCCGACCAGCCGACGUGGCAUCCGACACAGCAUUGUUCCUCCGACCUGUUCUCACGCACCUCCUCUCACCAGCCGGCAACCUCACUCUAGGUAGACGACCGUCCGCUGCCGUGGCAUCCCUCCGCUGCCAUCUUCCCGUCUGCACCCAUGCCUCAAGGCCACGAACCUCAUUCACCAGUUGAAGAUGGAAUUCUUCUGGCCUCUCGCAUUCCUGCCUGCUCGCUUCUGCCUGCCUCUGUGGAUGUUUUUCUCGCUGUCGGACGCAGACUGGGGCGCUGCCAUGGUCUUGGGGCCGGGUCUACCACACGGCUAACUCUCCCACCUGCUGUUCUUCUCGCCAGAACUCACUCCACGUCGUCGCCUUCUGACGGCAGGAGGAAGGAGGCUCUUGAACCCUUGAGCUGUGUCUCUUCUUUCCCAGAUAGUGCACCCCGCAUCUCGGGUAGUUGAUUAUGUGUUGUACUACGCGUGUUUGUGAGUGUGGUGGCCUUUGGCCUCAGUAGUAAUGCCUGCUGGCUGCCCUUACCCACCGCGACUGAGUUCGCAGUGUGCUGAAGGAACUUUACUACCGUCCACCCGCAAAUUCCCUCCCUCAAAAUGGCUAUAGAACGCGGGCGGGGCUCGAGGCAUUCCCACCAGAGUCAUGCCCCUCAUUACCACUACGUCAAGCCCUUCGGGGAGAAGCUCAAGGACUGCUGCCGCUCCACCAUCGCCUUUAUCUUCAGCAACGUGGGCGUAUGCGGCCUCAUGGUGGGCUACACCAUCAUGGGAGCCUUCCUCUUCUCCGCCAUCGAGAGCCAAAAUGACGUUGUCAUCACCGCCGACGUUAUUCGCAACCAGACCAUUGAGCAGCUGUGGAACAUCACAGUGAUGUACAACGUGCUUGACAAGCCCAACUGGAGGGCUAAUGUGUCCCACAUUAUGCUCACAUAUCAGCGAGCCAUCAUAAAACUGGUGGACGAGGGCUGGGACGGAGGCAACACCACUCUACCCAACAAGUGGUCCAUAGAGGGAGGAUUUCUCUACUCUCUCACCGUCAUAACAACCAUAGGUUACGGUCAUAUCUCUCCGAACACAGACACGGGCAAGAUGAUGACUAUCUUGUACACGGUAUUCGGCAUGCCCGUGUUCCUGCUUUACAUGGCCAACAUGGGCGACAUCUUGGCCAAAAGCCUCAAGUGGACGUAUGCUAAGCUGUGUAUCUGCCGGCGGCCUGAACACAAAUACGACCCGUCGGUGGUAUGGCGGUCCGCUGAAGCCACUCUCAGGGCCCCCGCGGGACCCUCCAACUUCCACCCUGAGUACCCACAGGAGCUGGGAGAGGAAAUCUCGAUAGACACCACCUCGUGGAGUGCUGGGCGCGCAGACAAAGUAGACGUUAGCAGUGUUAAUAUUCCCAUCACAGUGUCGCUAGUGAUCAUGGUGGCCCUCUUGUAUGGUGGAACUUUACUCUUCGAAAAGUACGAGGGAUGGGACCCCCUCACUUCUUUUUAUUUCUGUUUCAUAUCAUUGACUACUAUAGGAUUCGGUGACUAUGUUCCCGGGUUGAGUGUUCACCCGACUGGUGACGAUGAGAAAGGAAUGAGCUUUAUAUACUGCUCUCUCUACCUCAUGUUCGGCCUGGCGCUGCUCUCCAUGUGUUUCAAUCUCAUGCAAGAAGAGGUGGUACAUAAAAUAACUGCGUGUCUCAAUGCUAUUCGUUUCUUUAAGCGAAGAGAAACGGACUAAAAAUUCCUUAGUUUAACCCUAGUGAAUUUUCCAAACCCUGACCCAAUGGUGUAAGCGCGCCACCUUCCUCCUCCCCGUGCGGCUGCGGUUGGUGGUGACCGCAGGCUCUGGGCCAUCAAAAGCCGAAUAUGGCUGCCGCUGCGGUUAGUGGCAGCUGCAGUCUCUUGGCCACCAAAUCUCAGUGUAUUGCAACGGCUGGAUGUACCCUCGUGUUCUUGGCCGCCAACAAACACCACCAACCCUCCACGUCAUGACCGCUGACCGCCGCUAAAGGCCGAACAAUGCCCACCCUUUUCGAUUAACGACUCUACCACCGGCAACAUCGCCGCAGCCCGAUUCAGGCCGGAUGAACCGGACUGAACCCUUGCCACUCUGCUCUCAGUGAUAGCUAAACCUCAGUGCAGAAUGACUUUACCAUCGAGAAUAACCUAAUGGUUACUGCUCAAAGAUGUGUCCAUGAAUUCCGAGGAAGGGCCAUGGAUACUUCUGGCAGUCUGCAGGAAGCAGCAUAACGACUCCUACAGCUUAAAAGAGAGUGAUUAUGCUGGAGCUGCCAUUGCUACCGCCACCUUAAUGGACUAUGGCAUUAUCACCAAGGACGACAAAAGUCAAGUUAUUGGACCACAGAAGUUACGAGAUGCCAGACACAAAUACUGAAUGGAGAGGCAAGAAAAUGAGCUAGCAAACUCUGAAAAUAUCACAUCACUAUUUUGAUUAGGAAGACCUCCACUCGUGUAAUGACAAAGGAUGAGAAGACCAAGAAAUGGAGUACAAAGAUAGUGGUGAAAGAUCAUUACAUCAUCAUGAUGGAGCCCGGCACUGAAUAUCUCACUCAUGCGACUCCCAAGUCAGGCUAUGGAAAGGUGAUUGCCAAGACUGCAUUUCUGGUGGAACAGAAACUAACUCAGCAGACUGUUGUAUGUGUUGGUAGUGACAGAACCAUUGUAAAUGUCGGAGCUGACAAUGGAGCCAUUCAUCUUGAAAUGUUGCUUGAUCAUCAGGUCCAUUAUUUAAUCUGUCAGCUUCUUGGAAAUGAGCUGCCACUCCAGGGUGUUUUCUACUUUUAUGACGGUAAGCCAAGUGGUCCUGAGCAUUGGAGAGGUCCCACUGGCUAGCAAAUCAAGGAGCUGCCAGUUGAUACUUUCCAGUCAGUCAGUUUCACUGAUUUCUCUGUUCUGAAUGACAAGGUGGCAGAGGAUCUGUCCUGGGACCAGAAAUACUUGUAUAGGAUUUGCAAAGGAGUGAUCACAGGUGUGGCUGAUGAUGACUUGGCUGUUCUUGAACCAGGUCCACCAUGUGUGUCAAGGUGGAAUACUUUAUGCAGUAGGAUCCUUAGGCUGCAUGUUGCAACAUCAAGACCUAGUUAGGAGCUGAAAGAGUCGUCAUUAUGAUUUUAAAGUUCAGUGCUUCAAUGUGAUUCCACAUCAAAGAACUUCCAGUCACUGCAGUUUAUGAAACACCUGAACAGCAAAGAAUAGAGGAUAGUAAAGAAGACUGUCCAGAGAAAUUCCUACUUUGGUCACACAGAUCAGCUACUUCUUGGUAUGUGCGCUGAUGAAGACAUGACUGUGAGAGACACAGAUGUCACAGUGAUAAGAAAAAUUAGAGAAGAGAAUCAGCAGAGAGAAGAAAGUACUGAGAGCUUUGAUGAGGAUGGAGAAGAUUCUGCUGAUUUUGUUGACGAGGACUUGCUAAUCUACACUGAUGAUGAUGAUGACGACAGUGAAGAUGAAGAGAAUGACAAUGUGGCUCCUAUUCUCAACUCAAGAUAAGUAAUGAUUCCCAAACUAAAGUGGCAAUCAGAGAACUAUCAUUCCAUGAUUGACUGGAAGACUGUACUCAAAACAGAGCCUCCAUUCAAUGCUUCUCUAUCAGAUCAACAGGUUCUGAAAAUUAUUGAGACUCCACUGGAAGUGUCCAAGUGGCCAAACUACACCCAAGCUGUUGAGAGAGAGAUAAAACUGAUGAGUGAAGCUUGUACUGAAGUGACUGGACAGAAGGCAAGAGAUGGAUAUAUCAGGCAAAGAAUAUUUUCCAGGAAAGUGAUGCCCAAGUUCCACACCAAAAAAGACUUCACUUAUAACUUGUAAUAAUUUAAAAUUUAAUAGCUGAUGAUUGUAUAAUCAAAUGUACACAGGUUAUAUCAAUCUCCACAACCAAAAAUUAUAUAGACCAUAUACACUUGAUUAUUAUCCUGACAACCAAUAAUUUAUAACUAAACGAAAAAAACGCAUAUCAAUGAUUUUAAGUAAUAUUAAAUUUAAACUAAUCUAUGAUAUACUAAUUAAAAGUUAGCUAAAAUAAUUAUGUUGUGUUUGAGUAAGAGUAGGUUAUGCAAGGUUUAUAAGUUACGUAGCCCUUAAAAAUCAUGACCGAUUCAAUAGUUACACGCAAACGUGAAACUAAAUAAACUUAGUUACUAAAACUUAAGAGGAAAUAUCCACUUUAUUCAUCAGAGGAAAUAAACUCAACCUCCAUCUUUCAGUGUUUGAGAACUACAACCAUUUAAUAAAGGGACAUGUUGAAAAUGGUAUUAAUUAGCAACAAGUAGAUGAGUAAGACACAUGUUCAACAGCUGGGUAUCGUUAUUAUUUAAACGUUUUAACAAUGAAGAUAUCCAACUGCUACUCAUGAGUCUUACUCAUCAAAGACAUAAUAACCUAAGAAAAUAAAACAAAAAGUAAAGACAAUUCCUUCUUGCUAAUCAAAAAUAAAUAAAUGCAACUGUCGAGACGUUGAAAAUGAGAUGGACAAAACAUAACUUAUACAGUAAAUCUAUCUUGUUCACCCGUAUUGUAUGUAAAAUUUAUUAUUUAAUAUAAGCAACAGACACUAACCCAGCAUCAGAACAAUGCCUAGUGAUAAAAUGAAAUGGUUGACUGAGAUCUUUCCAAAUAGCCAGUGAUGCCCAUUCAAGUUCAUGUCCCAAUGAGAUCCGUUGGGCAUUGCUGCCUCUGAGGCAGCAGCGAUGCCCGCUUAAUGCCUGUUUAUUUAUAUACCGUAUUUUCCGGCAUAUAAGACGCACGACAGACGUAUCAUAGCAGUAAAUCAAAAAUCAUAUUUUCCAGGGCUAAUUACCCCUCUUCCUUUACGCUAAAACGUGACCCAAAGCGUACCCUUGACCCUGACCUUAAGGAUCAAAGAAGAUUUUAUACGAUGAUUAUCCAAAGCCUUUCAUGGGAGAAAAGCCGCGCCUUAUAUGAUGGAAAAUACGGUAUUUUAAAUUCCAAGAUAUUCUUGUAAAUUGUAAAAAAUUUCAUAACCCAGGGAGGACCCCUUAAAAAUCUUUUCAAGGACCCCAGUUUGAAAACUAGUAUGAUACUAGUAUCAUACUAGUAUCAUACUAACCUGUAAGUCGUCAGGUUAUUUGUGAAAUCUAGUGCUUUCCCAAUAUUAUCAUACAAUAAUUUUACACGAUUUGAGAUCUGCACACAUUAGCACUUAGAAAAGUGGUAGUGGAGCUACAGUGUACUCCACGCGUGCUCUGUCCAUAAUGCUAAUAACAAGAGGGUAACAUUAUGUUGUUAAACACAAUGUUUAUGUGAGAGGAGAGAGAGUGUAAAGUUUUAACGAUAGCGCCCAACUACUCUCCAGAGCACCAUGACAAUGGGGCGCACCGUUCCCUGCUCCUGUUAAUAAUGUUUACACGUGAUGUGUUUGACCAGGUGUGCCAUGACGUGCCCUGACGUGAUCUGAUGUGACCUGGUGUGAAUUCACGCCGCAGCCAAAUCUCUUCCUACAUCUGUUUUGACACAACGUUUUUAUAAAUACGGGGAGUGCCGUUCUCUGUUCUUAUUAAUAAUGUUUACAAAGAGGGGGUGUUUAACCCGGUGUUCCACGACACAACCUGAUGUGACCUCGUGUCACCUAGUGUGACCAGGUGUGACCCCAGCCUCACGCUGCUGUCACCACUUCAUUUGUUAUGACAAUAAAAUAUCCCCUUUAACGUGAUUUUAUUUCCUUUCAUUUUAAUAAUAAAACAAAUACGAUUCAAUAAUAAAGGUAUCUGACUCUUGACAGCUGACACCGUCACCAGAAAACAGCUGACACCGCCACCAGAAGCAACAGCUGACACCGUCACUAGAAGCAACAGCUGACACCGUCACCAGAAGCAACAGCCGACACCGUCACCAGAAGCAACAGCCGACACCGUCACCACAAGCAACAGCUGACACCGUCACCACAAGCAACAGCUGACACCGUCACCACAAGCAACAGCUGACACCGUCACUAGAAGCAACAGCUGACACUGUCACCAGAAGCAACAGCUGACACCGUCAGUAGAAGCAACAGCUGACACCGUAACUAGAAGCAACAGCUGACACCGUAACUAGAAGCAACAGCUGACACCGUCACUAGAAGCAACAGCUGAUACCGUCACUAGAAGCAACAGCUGACAGCAUCAACAUCAUUUAUUCUUGGCUUGUGCUCAAUCUUUUGUUUUUAAGUGAUGUCCUCUCUUCCUCCUCUUCUUCCUACUCAUCUUAUCCUGCCCUCCUUCUCCCCUAUUAUUUCUCCUGUUUUUCUUUCCCCUCCUCCUCCUUCUCCCUUUCCUUCUCUUCAUCUUCCUUCUCCUCACUCUCCUCCCCUGCAGGUUCUCCAGUUACUUUAAUUCCUCUUCUUCCUAUUCUUCAUUCUUUACUCACCUGCUGCUUCUUCCGUUCCUUCUCGUACACCUCUUCUUCCUUUUCCUCCCCACAGCUUCUCCUUUCCUUAUUCCUUUCCUUCUGUUUCUUCUGUUCGACUUCAUCCUCUUUUUUCUUCUUCUCUUCUCCCUCAUUUUACUCGAACUCUUGUCAUUCUAUUCCACUCAACCUCCUCAAUUUUCUUCUCCCCACCACUACUUCAACAUUCUUCCCUCCACCACUACUUUAAUAUUCUCCCCUCCACCACUACCUCAACAUUCUCUCCACCUCUAACACAUCUUCGCUUAUCGUCACUCAGUUUUUCUCUCUGGUCUACGUUUCACUUAGCGUCACUGUUACGUCUCCUGUUACAGGUCACUCAGCAGUAAUCUCAGUGAAGCAGUUUAUACAUAGUUUUCUUCCCGAGGUAAUGUAAAACUGGUCAUCCCACCAUCAACAGCUUCAUCCA